UACAGAGGGUGCGAGCGUUGUUCGGAAUUAUUGGGCGUAAAGGGCGCGUAGGCGGUGCGGUAAGUCACCUGUGAAAUCUCCUGGCUCAACUGGGAGCUUGCAGGCGAAACUGCCGUGCUGGAGUGUGGGAGAGGUGCGUGGAAUUCCUGGUGUAGCGGUGAAAUGCGUAGAUAUCAGGAGGAACACCUGUGGCGAAAGCGGCGCACUGGACCACAACUGACGCUGAGGCGCGAAAGCGUAGGGAGCGAACAGG
rnacentral:rRNA from 1 species